UACAUGGGGUGCAAACGUUGCUCGGAAUUAUUGGGCGUAAAGCGCACGUAGGCGGUUCGUUAAGUCGGAUGUGAAAGCCCUCGGCUCAACUGAGGAAGUGCACCCGAAACUGGCGAGCUUGAGUACGAAAGAGGAUCGCGGAAUUCCCGGUGUAGAGGUGAAAUUCGUAGAUAGUCGGGAGGAACACCGGUGGCGAAGGCGGCGAUCUGGGUCGAUACUGACGCUGAGGUGCGAAAGCG
rnacentral:rRNA from 1 species